rnacentral:rRNA from 1 species
UUGAACGCUGGCGGCAUGCUUUACACAUGCAAGUCGAACGGCAGCGCGGGGCAACCUGGCGGCGAGUGGCGAACGGGUGAGUAAUAUAUCGGAACGUACCCAAGAGUGGGGGAUAACGUAGCGAAAGUUACGCUACUACCGCAUACGAUCUAUGGAUGAAAGCAGGGGACCGCAAGGCCUUGUGCUCCUGGAGCGGCCGAUAUCUGAUUAGCUAGUUGGUAGGGUAAAGGCCUACCAAGGCGACGAUCAGUAGCUGGUCUGAGAGGACGACCAGCCACACUGGAACUGAGACACGGUCCAGACUCCUACGGGAGGCAGCAGUGGGGAAUUUUGGACAAUGGGCGCAAGCCUGAUCCAGCAAUGCCGCGUGAGUGAAGAAGGCCUUCGGGUUGUAAAG